rnacentral:rRNA from 1 species
AUACGUAGGGUGCAAGCGUUAAUCGGAAUUACUGGGCGUAAAGCGUGCGCAGGCGGUUUUGUAAGACAGUGGUGAAAUCCCCGGGCUCAACCUGGGAACUGGCAUUGUGACUGCAAGGCUGGAGGGCGGCAGAGGGGGAUGGAAUUCCGCGGGGAGCAGGGAAAUGCGUAGAUAUGCGGAGGAACACCGAUGGCGAAGGCAAUCCCCUGGGCCUGCACUGACGCUCAUGCACGAAAGCGUGGGGAGCAAACAGGAUUAGAUACCCUGGUAGUCCACGCCCUAAACGAUGUCAACUGGUUGUUGGGGAUUUAUUUUCUCAGUAACGAAGCUAACGCGUGAAGUUGACCGCCUGGGGAGUACGGCCGCAAGGUUAAAACUCAAAUGAAUUGGCGGGG